GGGAAUGUAGCUUAGUGCUAGAGUGUUUGCCUAGCAUGCAUGAAGCCCUGGGUUCAAUUCCCCAGUACCA
rfam:Dipodomys ordii contig_70564, whole genome shotgun sequence.